rnacentral:rRNA from 1 species
GAUGAACGCUGGCGGCGUGCCUAAUACAUGCAAGUCGAGCGAACAGAUAAGGAGCUUGCUCCUUUGACGUUAGCGGCGGACGGGUGAGUAACACGUGGGUAACCUACCUAUAAGACUGGAAUAACUCCGGGAAACCGGGGCUAAUGCAGGAUAACAUGUUGAACCGCAUGGUUCUACAGUGAAAGGCGGCUUUGCUGUCACUUAUAGAUGGACCCGCGCCGUAUUAGCUAGUUGGUGAGGUAACGGCUCACCAAGGCAACGAUACGUAGCCGACCUGAGAGGGUGAUCGGCCACACUGGAACUGAGACACGGUCCAGACUCCUACGGGAGGCAGCAGUAGGGAAUCUUCCGCAAUGGGCGAAAGCCUGACGGAGCAACGCCGCGUGAGUGAUGAAGGUCUUCGGAUCGUAAAACUCUGUUAUUAGGGAAGAACAAAUGCGUAAGUAACUGUGCGCGUCUUGACGGUACCUAAUCAGAAAGCCACGACUAACUACGUG